CCGCCGGUAGCGCAGUGGUUAUCGCACCAGACCGGUCAUCUGGAGGUCGUGGGUUCGGAUCCCACCCGGCGGG
rnacentral:tRNA from 1 species